UACGUAGGGGGCAAGCGUUGUCCGGAAUCAUUGGGCGUAAAGCGCGUGUAGGCGGCUGAGCAAGUCCGUUCUGAAAGCUCGAGGCUCAACCUCGAGAGGCGAAUGGAUACUGCUCAGCUCGAGUCCGGAAGAGGAGUGUGGAAUUCCUGGUGUAGCGGUGAAAUGCGCAGAUAUCAGGAGGAACACCAAUUGCGAAGGCAGCACUCUGGGACGUGACUGACGCUGAGACGCGAAAGCGUGGGGAGCAAACAGG
rnacentral:rRNA from 1 species